UCCUGGCGCAGCACCUGCUUCUGGUGGAAGCUGAAGGCCGGGUGGUUGGAGGCCAUGGUGAACAGCAGCAAGAACUCAUCGCCCGUGCGGCCCUCGUUGAGCUGCAGCCCGUAGUUGUGGAUGAUGGAGUCGAUGUGCGUGAGCGUGCGGUAGAGCACGCCCGCCGCCUCGCGCUGCUCCGAGCCCAGCAGCGCCAGCGACACCAGCAGCUUGCUGCGCACCACCUCGUCCGUCAGAUUGGAGUGCACUGGCGCGAUCUCAACUCACUGCAAACCUCCACCUCCUGGAUUCAAGCGAUUCUCGUGUCUCAGUCACCCAAGUAGCUGGGAUUACAGGUGCCCAUCACCACGCCUGGCUAAUUUUUGUAUUUUCAGUAGAGACAGGGUUUUGUCACGUUGGCUGGGCUGGUCUUGAACUCCUGACCUCAGGUGAUCUGCCCGCCUCAGUCUCCCAAAGUGCUGGAAUUAUAGGCGUGAGCCUCCAUGUCCGGCCCUUCUGAUUUCUCUUGAAAGCUGUUCUGUGUCCACCUGGAUGGAGCCACCACUCUUUUUGCACAUGAGCUGUCAGUUCAUGGGGACUAGGUUGUCCUCGACAACUCCCCACCAACAGACAUGAGGCUGCUCUGUCUCUGCUGUAAUCAACGUGCGGCGUGGGUCAUGCCUUUGGCACAUACAUGCCUGUGUGCCCCUGUGCCAGUGCCUCAGUCAGCAAGAAUCCUCGGAGGAGAACCGCUGCGCACGAGGAUCUGCCGCUGUCCGUGCUGGGCUGUGGGUAAAUUGCCUCCCCAUAGGUUGCACUUGUUCACACACCUGUCCUCCCAAUGUCAGGCCAUGCCCCUCACUCCUAAUGCCAGGCAGCACAGAGCCAUUCAGGAGCCCUUUGGGGGCCCCUCCCAGGGAGCUCAGUCUAAUUGGAGACAGCAAAUAUGUUGGAUCUGCUUGAUUUUCAAAUGAUUUACCCAGAAACAUCUACCCUCUCAGCCCCUGGUGUGGGGAAUAUGAGCCCUUCCCUGGAAACACUGUUAGAAAAAGAAAAAAAACAAAAAGAAAGAGAGAGAGAAAGGGCUCAUUGAAUAGGGCAUCCCUAAAACGUGGACAGAGGAAGCAGAGAGAAUGGAGUCCAGACACUCGGACCCUGUUGUCACCCCACCAGGGUCCACCCAGCAACACCGAGACACUGAACAGGGCCCUCCUGAGGGCCUAGAAAUGGUGGUGAUCAGCUCCCACACCUGAGCCUCCCUAGUCCCCAAAUCACCAGCGGGGACUUUUUUACAGCCCCUCCACCCAGCCACCCUGGGUCCUGUGCAGCCAUCUGGGUCUAUGCAUCUCCGGGACGCACAGAUGAGAUGGAACUGUCCCACGCAUGUUCUCUGGGGCAGAAACGGCGGCAGAGCCUGCCGAGGCCACUCUUGCCAGCUGGCCAGGGCACAGCGUCUGACCCAGGAGGCUGUGACCUCGCUGCCCCAGGCCUGGCAUGGUCUGUGGACAGUGGCCUGUCCCACCAGCCACCAGGAACCUCCCUUCAGUGCCCACCCCAUCCACCUCGCCAAGACUGAUCUAGAAAUUAUUUAUAGAUCCGAACUCCACAGAAACCAUUGUGUCUGCUGUUGCCAUGGCAAUGGGGAUGUGGCAGGAGCGCCAGGCUCUCAGGCUUUCCAGGGCCUGUGGAGGCCGGCAAGGGCGGUCGAUUUCUACCAGGAGCCCCUGACUCACACCCGCCGUCAGAGACCCCCGGGAGCGAAGAAGACAGGCUUCCCACCCUUUUCCAGCAGGGCUGGCUGCAUCCAGGAAGACAGCGCUGCUGGUGAGUGGUUCGAUUUUGUUUCAGACCUCUCCAAGAAAUCAUCUAGAACAACUUCCGCAAGACUGGAGGUGCUCCCGUCCCCCAUGGAACCUCUCGGGAACACAGCCUCCGACUCCUCACCGCAGAACAGCUGCGUCAGACUCCCGGACGGCAGGGCCUAGGGAUCUGUGUUUUGGUUUUGGGAUCUGUGCAAAUCCACAUGACUCAAUAAUCCAAACAUACAGAGAGCCUGGGAACCCUUACCCCACUCUGGCGCCCUAUGCGUCCGCUUUCAUUGGCUUCUUGUAUUUCCGGCUUGUUUUCUUUAGGGAGGCAGCAAAUACAAGAUACGGUCCACUUUUACCUUUUUCCCCGCUCAGAAAAUAAAGAUGCCACAGCCAGGCUUUUGCACCUUGCUUUUCUCACUAAA
ensembl:lncRNA